UACGUAGGGUGCAGGCGUUAAUCGGAAUUACUGGGCGUAAAGCGUGCGCAGGCGGUUUGCUAAGACAGGUGUGAAAUCCCCGGGCUUAACCUGGGAACUGCGCUUGUUACUGGCAGGCUUGAGUGUGGCAGAGGGGGGUGGAAUUCCACGUGUAGCAGUGAAAUGCGUAGAGAUGUGGAGGAACACCGAUGGCGAAGGCAGCCCCCUGGGCUAACACUGACGCUCAUGCACGGAAGCGUGGGGAGCAAACAGG
rnacentral:rRNA from 1 species